CCGCGUGAGUGAUGAAGGUCUUCGGAUCGUAAAACUUUGUCUUAUGGGACGAUAAUGACGGUACCAUAGGAGGAAGCCACGGCUAACUACGUGCCAGCAGCCGCGGUAAUACGUAGGUGGCAAGCGUUGUCCGGAUUUACUGGGCGUAAAGGAUGUGUAGGCGGAUAUUUAAGUGAGAUGUGAAAUCCCCGGGCUUAACUUGGGGGCUGCAUUUCAAACUGGAUGUCUGGAGUGCAGGAGAGGAAGGCAGAAUUCCUAGUGUAGCGGUGAAAUGCGUAGAGAUUAGGAAGAAUACCAGUGGCGAAGGCGGCCUUCUGGACUGUAACUGACGCUGAGGCAUGAAAGCGUGGGGAGCAAACAGGAUUAGAUACCCUGGUAGUC
rnacentral:rRNA from 1 species